CCUACGGGUGGCUGCAGUGGGGAAUAUUGGACAAUGGGCGAAAGCCUGAUCCAGCCAUGCCGCGUGUGUGAAGAAGGCCUUCGGGUUGUAAAGCACUUUCAGUGGGGAAGAAAGCCUUGGGGCUAAUACCCUCGAGGAAGGACAUCACCCACAGAAGAAGCACCGGCUAACUCCGUGCCAGCAGCCGCGGUAAUACGGAGGGUGCGAGCGUUAAUCGGAAUUACUGGGCGUAAAGCGCGCGUAGGCGGUCUGAUAAGCCGGGUGUGAAAGCCCCGGGCUCAACCUGGGAACGGCAUCCGGAACUGUCAGGCUAGAGUGCAGGAGAGGAAGGUAGAAUUCCCGGUGUAGCGGUGAAAUGCGUAGAGAUCGGGAGGAAUACCAGUGGCGAAGGCGGCCUUCUGGACUGACACUGACGCUGAGGUGCGAAAGCGUGGGUAGCAAACAGGAUUAGAUACCCGGGUAGUC
rnacentral:rRNA from 1 species